AAGAAAGCAGCAAUGUUGGCUAAUCCCCUCAGCCAAACAGGGCCGCUGACAUUGUAGAGCAAAUAAGAUGAUGAUUUGGAUCCAUACGCCCAAUACCCCAUGUAAGUAACAGCAUGCACUGGCACAGCUCCUAUAGUAAACUGAAAAUAUAGGGCUUUCAACAUGUUGUCAACAACCGGUGCUCUAACAGUAGCCUGGAUCUCUGGGAUCAUUCCUGUGUUGUAUACAAAAACAAGACUUGCAGCCGCACCAAUAGUUGUAAAAGUUCUACUAGAGGAGGAUCCUGGAAUGCUAUAAUCCCUAGGAGGAGCAUUAAUACCAUCUUUAAGACACAAAGCAAAGGCUAUUGAGAAAUACACUAUACUGAGGAAUGUGGAAACUGCCA
rnacentral:misc_RNA from 1 species